rnacentral:tRNA from 1 species
GGUCGGUUUGCCGAGCGGUUAGGCGCCAGUCUGCAAAACUGGUUACAGCGGUUCGAAUCCGCUACCGACCU